AGCAGCCGCGGUAAUUCCAGCUCCAAUAGCGUAUAUUAAAGUUGUUGCAGUUAAAAAGCUCGUAGUUGAAUUUCGAGACCGGUUUACUGGUCGUGCUUUUGUACGUACUGGUAUUAUUGGUUUCUCCUUUCUGACGAAUCAUAAUGCCAUUAAUUUGGUGUUUUGGGGAAUCAGGACUGUUACUUUGAAAAAUUAGAGUGUUUAAAGCAGGCUCACGCUUGAAUACAUUAGCAUGGAAUAACGAAAUAGGACGUUUGAUUUUAUUUUGUUGGUUUCUAGGAUCGACGUAAUGAUUAAUAGGGAUAGUUGGGGGCAUUAGUAUUCAAUUGUCAGAGGUGAAAUUCUUGGAUUUAUUGAAGACUAACUACUGCGAAAGCAUUUGCCAAGGAUGUUUUCAUUAAUCAAGAACGAAAGUUAGGGGAUCGAAGACGAUCAGAUACCGUCGUAGUCUUAACCAUAAACUAUGCCGACUAGGGAUCGGAUGAUGUUAAUUUUUAAUGACUCAUUCGGCGCCUUACGG
rnacentral:rRNA from 1 species